CUUCGCCAUGGAGGCCCCCCACCCAUUCCACUCCGGGGUUGCGGCCACGCACCAUAAGAGCACCUUCAGAUCCCGGAUCUAGGGCUCUAGUGGUCUCGGCCGGAGGGAAGGUGACGCGCAGUGGGCGCAGACGCAGAGUGCGGGGCGCCGAACGUGGGAAGGAGCGGGUUCAGCGCGCUGGACAUUAUUCUCGGCUUCAUUUCCACAUAGCAUUCGGCAGUGGACAAGGAGUAGGCGG
rnacentral:lncRNA from 1 species